UAUCUCCACCUGUGUUUACCUGUUAUGUUGCCAUAGGAACUCCCACCUUGAAAGCCCAUUGGCCAACGUGUGGAGGUAGCUGCAGGUGAGGGAGUGCAAGUGCGUGGGAGGAAGAAAGAAAUUUACAGAGUGAGGAGGGGCCGUCUGUAACAGAAGAACAAACAUCCAAAUAUAGGAGGGAAACAAUAGAGCAAUAAAUGUAUAGAAGACCAGUCCCCUGUUCCUGCUGAACUGAGCCAGCCGACGUCACACACUGAUUAUCAGCACAGCAGGCACAGGAGCCCGACCCAGCAGGGGGUGAGGAGGGGGCAGACAGAGGCUUCAGCCUCAUGUCACCCUCCUCCAGCUCAAUUUUCGCCUUCUAUUGCCCAAUUUGGCCUAUACCAACACUCCCAGAGGGGGAACCAGACAGGACGGCGGACAGGAAGACGGACACAGCCGGCCCUGAACUGUAGCUG